rnacentral:rRNA from 1 species
AGAGUUUGAUUCUGGCUCAGAACGAACGCUGGCGGCGUGGAUAAGACAUGCAAGUCGAACGAGAGAAUUGCUAGCUUGCUAAUAAUUCUCUAGUGGCGCACGGGUGAGUAACACGUGAGUAACCUGCCCCCGAGAGCGGGAUAGCCCUGGGAAACUGGGAUUAAUACCGCAUAGUAUCGAAAGAUUAAAGCAGCAAUGCGCUUGGGGAUGGGCUCGCGGCCUAUUAGUUAGUUGGUGAGGUAACGGCUCACCAAGGCGAUGACGGGUAGCCGGUCUGAGAGGAUGUCCGGCCACACUGGAACUGAGACACGGUCCAGACACCUACGGGUGGCAGCAGUCGAGAAUCAUUCACAAUGGGGGAAACCCUGAUGGUGCGACGCCGCGUGGGGGAAUGAAGGUCUUCGGAUUGUAAACCCCUGUCAUGUGGGAGCAAAUUAAAAAGAUAGUACCACAAGAGGAAGAGACGGCUAACUCUGUGCCAGCAGCCGCGGUAAUACAGAGGUCUCAAGCGUUGUUCGGAAUCACUGGGCGUAAAGCGUGCGUAGGCUGUUUCGUAAGUCGUGUGUGAAAGGCGCGGGCUCAACCCGCGGACGGCACAUGAUACUGCGAGACUAGAGUAAUGGAGGGGGAACCGGAAUUCUCGGUGUAGCAGUGAAAUGCGUAGAUAUCGAGAGGAACACUCGUGGCGAAGGCGGGUUCCUGGACAUUAACUGACGCUGAGGCACGAAGGCCAGGGGAGCGAAAGGGAUUAGAUACCCCUGUAGUCCUGGCAGUAAACGGUGCACGCUUGGUGUGCGGGGAAUCGACCCCCUGCGUGCCGGAGCUAACGCGUUAAGCGUGCCGCCUGGGGAGUACGGUCGCAAGAUUAAAACUCAAAGAAAUUGACGGGGACCCGCACAAGCGGUGGAGUAUGUGGCUUAAUUCGAUGCAACGCGAAGAACCUUACCUGGGCUUGACAUGUAAUGAACAACAUGUGAAAGCAUGCGACUCUUCGGAGGCGUUACACAGGUGCUGCAUGGCCGUCGUCAGCUCGUGUCGUGAGAUGUUUGGUUAAGUCCAGCAACGAGCGCAACCCCUGUUGCCAGUUACCAGCACGUGAAGGUGGGGACUCUGGCGAGACUGCCCAGAUCAACUGGGAGGAAGGUGGGGACGACGUCAGGUCAGUAUGGCCCUUAUGCCCAGGGCUACACACGUACUACAAUGCCCAGUACAGAGGGGGCCGAAGCCGCGAGGCGGAGGAAAUCCUGAAAACUGGGCCCAGUUCGGACUGUAGGCUGCAACCCGCCUACACGAAGCCGGAAUCGCUAGUAAUGGCGCAUCAGCUACGGCGCCGUGAAUACGUUCCCGGGUCUUGUACACACCGCCCGUCACAUCAUGGAAGCCGGUCGCACCCGAAGUAUCUGAAGCCAACCGCAAGGAGGCAGGGUCCUAAGGUGAGACUGGUAACUGGGAUGAAGUCGUAACAAGGUAGCCGUAGGGGAACCUGCGG